UGUGGUUAGCGGUGAAAUGCCAAUCGAACUCGGAGAUAGCUGGUUCUCCUCGAAACAGUUUUAGGACUGGCGUCAUGUAGUAGCAGUCGGGGGUAGAGCUCUGUAAAGGACUGGGGCUGGCAACGGUACCCACCCUUAACAAACUACGAAUACCGAUUGUGGAAUCAUGGCAGUUAGAACGGCGGAGCUAAGUUCGUCGCUCAAAAGGGAAACAGCCCAGACCAUCGUCUAAGGUCCCUAAAUUUACGUUAAGUGGGAAACAAGGUGAGAUUUCUUAAACAGCUAGGAUGUUGGCUUAGAAGCAGCCAUUCAUUUAAAGAGUGCGUAACAGCUCACUAGUCAAGAGAUUUUGCGUGGAAAAUGUAACGGGGCUAAAGUGUUAAACCGAAGACAUGGACUUCUGCCUAUGCAGGAGUGGUAGAGGAGCGUUGAUAUCGCAGUGAAGUCAGAUUGGAAAGUCUGGUGGAGCGUUAUCAAGUGAGAAUGCUGGAAUUAGUAACCUUAAGACAGGUGAGAAUCCUGUCGGUCGUAAGAGCAAGGUUUCCAGGGCUACAGUAAUUGCCCCUGGGUUAGUCGGUCCUAAGCCGAGGCGUAUCAGCGUAGGCGAUGGACAACAGGUUAAUAUUCCUGUACAGGUAGUAGUUGUGAACAGUUCACGGUGAAUGACUGGAGCGGAUUAAUGGUUUAUCCGUCCAAGUCUUUAGGGAACUAAAGAUGAGUGAAAGGUAAUCUUCGGAUUAUUGAUUCUGGGUGAAGCACUGGCUAGAAAAGCUGGUUCACUUAUGCUGCUGCCUACCGUACCGCAAACCAACACCGGUGCUCGGGUCGAGUAGACCAAGACCUACGUGAGAACCUUCGCUAAGGAACUCGGCAAAAAAGCGUCCGUAACUUCGGAAUAAGGACUGCCCUCUCAUUAAGAUGAGGAUUUGCUAGAAACUCAGCAGAAGAUUCAGAUUACCUUUUAACUGAAUUUUUCGUUGAGACAGAACACAAAACAGGAUUUGUUUAACAAAUUCGUGUCUUUUCUAGUAGUCUAAUCGUCAUUUUGAUGAGAGGGCCGCAGCUAAAGAGCCCACGGAACUGUUUACCAAAAACAUAGGUCUCUGCUAACGCGAAAGCGGAUGUAUAGGGGCUGACUCCUGCCCGGUGUCGGAAGGUUAAGGGGAGAGCUUUACGGUUCGAACUGAAGCCCCGAUGAACGGCGGCGAUAACUAUGAUCGUCCUAAGGUAGCGAAAUUCCUUGUCUGGUAAGUUCAGACCCGCACGAAUGGAGUAAUCAUGUGGGCACUGUCUCGGCGAAGGCCACGGUGAACGUGCAUUGGCGGUAAAGAUGCCGUCUGAUCAUGCCAGGACGAGAAGACCCCAUGGAGCUUUACUACAACUUUGCAUUGAUUAUUGGGACAUUUUGUGUAGAAUAGGUGGAAGACUUUGAAGCAGAUACGCUAGUAUUUGUGGAGUCGAAAUAUGAAAUACCACCCUGAAUGUUUUAGUAAUCUCACUUUUGACCUGAUCGGCCAAAAGGACCGUGCAUGGCGGGUAGUUUAACUGGGGCGGUUGCCUCCUAAAGAGUAGCGGAGGCGUUCAAAGGU
rnacentral:rRNA from 1 species